ACCAUUUUUUUUAACACUACGUAACCUAACUUCUUCCACAAACCUCCCUUCACGAAAUUAACCUAGCCUCUCCGCCAAAACGUCAAAACUCAUCUCCGCCGAAACCAACUUUCACCCCUUCAUCCACCGGCCAACUCCCAGGUCUCCACCGUCAUCCGGCCGACUGCCAUCCCUCAUUCCAUCUUCUCCAAUCAAGCAACAUCAUCUUCCCGGCGCCAGCAUAAGUCGUUGUCUUCUUCUCUAUCUUCCUCCUUUACUACAUCCGGCCAACCACCUCCUCUCCAUCACCGCUGGUGGAGUUACUUACUCUCAUCUCUCCUAUUCAGAUUAGAAGAGGAGAGGCCAUAGCUUCCUUCCGGCAGCCACCUCUCUUCCAUCCAUCAUCCGACAACUUCUCCUUGGGUUAGAGGAGGAACUAAAGCCUUCCCCUUUCUCUCCUCGGGUUAGAAGAGAGGAAGCUCCACUCCUACUUUCGGUAAUCCCCUCUUUCACUAGCUCUUCUCUACCUCAUCAAGCUCCGAAUUCGUUUCCACAACAUCACCACCUCUCCUCUUCUGGAUUAGGAAGAGGAGAGCUUUAUACCUACCACCGACAACCCCCAUUCCCUCUCUACUUCGGGUUAGAAGUGGAGAGUUCCUUUCCUCCACUCCGGCAGCCCUUCAUCAUUUCCAAGCAACUUGCUCCACUCCGGAAGCCCUCCAUAUUCCCUCUUUUGGUUAGAAGAGGGGAAGAGGUCACUUCUAGACAACCACUACAUCUGAAGGUCCAUCCGCAACUGAAGCUUCAUUCACGUCAACGAUAUUAGGGACCACUAGGAAAAAAAUGCCAAAUUACCUAUUUCAACUGCUGCUCAAUUGAGAACAAUGCGAAAGCGAUCUGACAACUAUCUUGUUCUAAACAUCGAGUCUGGGUCUGAUCAUUCAGUUGCAGUAGAGUCUGAUGCUAAAGGUUUGCACUUCAACCUUCUGAUCAGAAAAGGAAUUCAUCAUUAAGUCAUGUUUUCAAAUCUCUGAAUACUUUUGAUCUAAUCCCAAGACAAGAAAAACUGAUUGCGGAUAGACUUGAUAAUAUUUGGUGAGUUCUAAAUCAAUAUCUUCAAGUUUGAUGUUGUUUUGGUAUUUUUCUUUCUUGAUAUUUUCCUCCAAAGAUCUUGUAAAUCUUUUUUAAUGCAAAGUCAUAUAUCUAUUUGAAAUAAAACUACGGUCAUUAGAUCCUCUAGUCUAGUAUACAUUUUACAUAGAACAUCAUUAAGGCUUCAAAAUAUCUGAUUUAUUUGAACUUUUCUUUAACGUCAGUUCAAAUAAAGCUUGCAAACUAAUGAUCUAAGCAGUUCAUAGAAAUUGAUCUUCAUAUUUGAAGAGAUUUUAGUUUCCUUGACGAAGCAAAUAAAUUCAUUUUCAAGGCAUUUUUCUUCUCAUGGUAUGGUACCUAGCACCAGCAAACUUAAGUUAUCAAGAAAUAACUUGCAACUCUGCCUACAAGAUUCUUAUUUCAUACUAGCAAACUAUUUUUGUUAUUAUGGAAAUACCGUUCAAUCUAAGACAUGAUUUUUGUAGGGUUUCCAGGGGUCAUCUUAUGAUGCACCGGCCUAGUGCAAGGCUAGGUCUCAUGGCGUAUAUGAUCUUCAUGCAUCUAUGGUUGCUAGGAGUCAUAUUAUGAUAUGACUAAUAAAUUUAGGCUACAAAUUAUAUGAUUAGAAUGUAAUAUAUCUUUUCAUUAAGGGGCUUAGAUGAUGCAAUGCUAGGAGAGGUUGAAAAUGAUAUGCCAAUACUGCAGGUAUGACUCAUCAUUGCUUUCUUGGCAGAAUCAAAUAAACCCAUUUUAAAUCUUCAUGUUUCGAGUAAGUUGUUGUUAAAUUGUUUGCUUAUAUACAAGAUCAUUAAAGUUUGCCAAAUAUUUUCAUCCCUUCUUACAGAAGUUGAAAACCUAGCCUUGCAAGAAUGCUAGUUGGAUGAGUGCAUCGGGUUUGGUUCCAAUACUAAAUGUAGCUUCUAUCUACAGAUGCCUAACAUGCUACAAUAUGCAUAGUGUGCUGAAAUGUUCUAGUUUUUAUAGCAAAAUGCAAGAAAACAUGAGUGUGUUCACUGAAGAAGAAAGUAAUCAAAAGCUGCUUUACCUGAUCGAAGAUGACAUCAAAAGAUUACCCUGCUUUCAGAUUACAGGAACAACAACUAUAUGCUAUGUGGCACUGCAUCCGAACUUCAGGGGUGUGACUGAGAAGUACUUCGACGAAGAACUAUCAAGAAGGCUUUAAGCGAGAAGAUGGUUAAAGUCAAUGAGUAAAGAACAUUCAAGUCAAGAGGAUAAGUAGCAUCUAUCAAGAUCCUUUAAGUUCAUGCAAUAAGAUGUAGUCGAUAGGAGUAGUUUUGAGUGUCUCCUAAUUAAAAUUUCUUUGUAUGCGAGUAAUUAUAUUUAUUAUAGAAGUAUAAGAAUGAUAAUUUGUAUAUUUAUCUUGGUUGUUUAUUUAAUAAUAUGUUGUUAAUUGAA